rnacentral:tRNA from 1 species
AAAAACUUAGUUAAAUAUAUAACGCUAGUUUGUCAAACUAGAAUAAUUAAAAAUAAUAGUUUUUA